UGGAUAGUUACUGCAUGGGUGAUUAUCUUUCAGCUGGCAACAAGUUAUUUAACCCCAACUGAUGCAAUGAGUAGCUUCUCAUUUCUUAAACAACCAUGUCGAAAGACACAUCCCGUGGUCGUGGAAAAGAUGUUAGUCUGUUUGAGAAGGGUCAAAUCAUUGGCAUGCAUCAAGCAGAGAAAACAUCUAAGGAGAUUGCAG